rnacentral:rRNA from 14 species
UGGGGGACCGAACCCACUAACUUUGAAAAGUUAGGGGAUGACUUGUGGCUGGGGGUGAAAGGCCAAUCAAACCGGGAGAUAGCUGGUUCUCCCCGAAAGCUAUUUAGGUAGCGCCUCGGAUGAAUUCCUUUGGGGGUAGAGCACUGUUUGGGCUAGGGGGUCAUCCCGACUUACCAACCCCAUGCAAACUCCGAAUACCAAAGAGAACUAUCCGGGAGACACACGGCGGGUGCUAACGUCCGUCGUGGAGAGGGAAACAACCCAGACCGCCAGCUAAGGUCCCAAAAUUAUUGCUAAGUGGGAAACGAUGUGGGAAGGCUAAGACAGCUAGGAGGUUGGCUUAGAAGCAGC